GUUUGACUUUAAGUGGUAUUUCCCAUUGGCUACAUCCUUGGGUUUUAUUCAGAAUAGAUGCAAGUAACAUCUGCAUGUUUUUCACUUCACCUUUUCACAUUUUAAUAGCAAAGUUCUUGUUGUAUAUUUUGAGGCUGGAGGCAAUUCCAGGUGCAACUCCCAAUGCCAAUACACUUGUUUGCAGAGUAAAGUUGAAGCUCAAACGGAAUAUGUUAGAGACCGUUUCCCCUGCAGGGAGAUCACGAACUAAAACUUUAUGUGUUGCUCCUCCAAAAGGCCUCAGGCAAUAGCAGAGCCGCACUGUAACAAGAUUCCGUAGUUUUCACAGCAUUAUUGCUGUAUACUGAACAAAUGCCUACUGCAUAUCUGUAUACAGUAUGUUGCUGUAGAUUUUUACGCGAUCAUGGCCAAAAUGCUGUAGAAUACGAGACUACAGUAAAUACAAUUAUCCUGUGAAUCAUAUUACAGUAAUUUUGAGCGGGAUCUAUCUGACUUCCACGCCAAGCCACGCAGCCGGAAAGUUCUCCAGAGAUUGCAGCAGAGAAUAUGUUGAAGCACAGAUUUCCCUGCCUAGCACUCCCAGGCUAAUCAUGCUUGGAGGCAGUCACGUCCCUUGAAUUUGUCCAACGAUAAACCCAGAACAGAGUAAAUGUGCUGCUAUAUUCCAGACCAGCAAGAGCACAGUAAAGAAGGUUCAAUGGAAAAAGCUGUCCCUGAAUCAACAUGUCGCCGCUCUAAUCCAGGACUUCAUUGAAUAUUACUGGCAGAAUACCUAGAGCAUGCCAGUAAAGAAGACGUCCACUCCACUCACACACACAUUGAUAGAUGCUGGGGUGGAGUUCUUGUUCUUGUGGUAGGACUUCACUACAACAUAUGUGCACAUUCUCUCUCUCUCUCUCUCUAUUCUCUCUCUCUCUCUCUAUGUCUCUUUCUCUCUCUCUAUGUCUCUAUCUCUCUCUCUCUAUGUCUCUUUCUC